rnacentral:rRNA from 1 species
CACGUAGGGUGCGAGCGUUGUCCGGAAUUAUUGGGCGUAAAGAGAUCGUAGGCGGUGUGUCGCGUCGGCCGUGAAAACCUGCAGCUUAACUGUGGGCGUGCGGUCGAUACGGGCAUCACUGGAGUUCGGCAGGGGAGACUGGAAUUCCUGGUGUAGCGGUGAAAUGCGCAGAUAUCAGGAGGAACACCGGUGGCGAAGGCGGGUCUCUGGGCCGAUAAUGACGCUGAGGAGCGAAAGCGUGGGGAGCGAACAGG